rnacentral:rRNA from 1 species
UACAGAGGUCCCAAGCGUUGUUCGGAUUCAUUGGGCGUAAAGGGUGCGUAGGCGGCGCGGUAAGUCGGGUGUGAAAUCUCGGAGCUUAACUCCGAAACUGCAUUCGAUACUGCCGUGCUUGAGGACUGGAGAGGAGACUGGAAUUUACGGUGUAGCGGUGAAAUGCGUAGAUAUCGUAAGGAAGACCGAGUGGCGAAGGCGGGUCUCUGGACAGUUCCUGACGCUGGAGGCACGAAGGCUAGGGGAGCAAACGGG